GUUUUAUUAUGAAGAAAAGUGUACUGGAUGGGACUGAAUUCAGAAAUGAAUAUAAGAGAACCAUGCUCUUUAACAAAGAACAAAAAUGACAGAGAAAAGACACAGAAACAGCAAGCUUGGCAAGCCAAACAAGUUUUCAUGAUGUGGACUUAAUUUGAAGAUUUGACUCCUUUGACUUGCAUGGUAUGUAGGAUUUUUCUAGUGAAAUGACCAUUUCUAAUGAUCAUUUGGAUUAUAUAGGAAGAGAAAGAGGGUUUGUUUCCUCAUCACAAUUUUAGAAAUAAAUGCUUUAUUGAUUGUUUUUUGGUCAUUAUUAUUUACCAAUUCUUCCUAAGAAUAUUCUCUUGAAACAAAAUGUACUACUGAGUUAAGCAAAACAAGCACAUUGACUAUAUCUCACUUAUACACUGUUGUU